GUCUGAUUGCGAGGUCUUUAAUAAUUGUUUGGGGGUUGAUUUGUUCAUUUUUAUUGAAGUGUUAUUUUGUUGUUGUAUUUUUCUUGAUUUAAUUUUUUUUAUUAUAGCUUAGUAGUGCCGUGAGGGGCAUGUGGGAUUUGCUUUUGUAAGUUGGUCUUUCUUGCCGUACCUUUUGUAUCAGGGUUUAUUAAUUUUCGUUAUUUAUUUUUUGUUUCCCGAUUUUUGUAGGAUUUAAUUAAUUAUUUUAUUUUCUGUUUCAUAAGGAUUUUUAAUAUUUGUUUGGUAGUGAGAUGUUAUUCGUCUUUGUUGGUAUCUGGUUUCUUGAGAGAUGAAUUUAAUUCAUGUUAUUUAUUUAGCUGUCAUUUUUGUUUGUUUGGUUUUAUUUAUGGCGAAGGGGUUGGGGGAUAAGCUUUGGCUCUUUUUUAUAAUUUUUUUGUGUUGUUCUGUCCGGUGGGCUUUGUGUUGGCCAUCUAUUUGAGUUUAUUAAAAUUUUAUUUCGUGUUUCUUUUGUUUUUUGUUUUAUUUAAUUGUUUAUUAAGACGUUUGGAGUAAUUUUUUAUCUGUUGUGAUAAUGAUUGAAUUAGUAUAUUUGAUUUUAUUUUGUUUUGUUAGUGUGAGGUUUUUUAGAGGAAUUCGGCAAUUUUUGGCGCCCGCCUGUUUAACAAAAACAUCUCUUCUUGAUUAAUUUUUUGAAGUACGGCCUGCCCGCUGAAUUUUGAAGGGCCGCGGUAUUUUGACCGUGCGAAGGUAGCAUAAUCAUUAGUUCUUUAAUUGUGGGCUGGAAUGAAUGGUUUGACGAGGUGUUAGCUGUCUUUCUAAUAUUUAGGUUGAAUUUGGUUUCUUGGUAAAAAUACCUGGAUUUUUUUAUGGGACGAGAAGACCCUAUAGAGUUUUAUACAAUCUUUCUUUUUGGUUUGUUUUUUCGUGUUGGGGAUUUUGUAUUUUGUUGGGGUAAUGGGAGGAUAAGUUGAACUCUUCUUUUUGUUUUUCACUGAUUUGUGUUUAUAUGAUCCUUUAUUAUUGAUUGUUAGAUUAAAUUACCUUAGGGAUAACAGCGUAAUCUUCUUUGAGAGCUCUUAUUGACAAGGGGGGUUGCGACCUCGAUGUUGGAUUAAGAUGAAUUUCUGGUGUAGAGGCUUUGGAAAAAUUAUUAUUAGGUCUGUUCGACCUUUAAAAUCUUACAUGAUCUGAGUUCAGACCGGCGUGAGCCAGGUUGGUUUCUAUCUAUAAUAUUCUUUGACUUCUUAGUACGAGAGGACCAGGUGUCAGAAAUAAUUUUUAUUGUUGGAUUGCUAUUAAGUUGUUUGUUUACUAUUUUGGCAGAUAAGUGCGGUGGAUUUAGAAUCUAUUUAUGUGAAUU
rnacentral:rRNA from 1 species